rnacentral:rRNA from 1 species
GUGGGGAAUAUUGCACAAUGGGGGAAACCCUGAUGCAGCAACGCCGCGUGAGUGAUGAAGGCCUUCGGGUUGUAAAGCUCUGUCUUCAGGGACGAUAAUGACGGUACCUGAGGAGGAAGCCACGGCUAACUACGUGCCAGCAGCCGCGGUAAUACGUAGGUGGCAAGCGUUGUCCGGAUUUACUGGGCGUAAAGGGAGCGUAGGCGGAUACUUAAGUGGGAUGUGAAAUACCUGGGCUUAACUUGGGUGCUGCAUUCCAAACUGGAUAUCUAGAGUGCAGGAGAGGAAAGUAGAAUUCCUAGUGUAGCGGUGAAAUGCGUAGAGAUUAGGAGGAACACCAGUGGCGAAGGCGACUUUCUGGACUGUAACUGACGCUGAGGCUCGAAAGCGUGGGGAGCGAACAGGAUUAGAAACCCCUGUAGUCC